rnacentral:misc_RNA from 1 species
UUAAGUUCAGCGGGUAUCCCUACCUGAUCCGAGGUCAACCUUUGAUGGAAAUUUUAACGGCGCGGCCCACCCUCUUCGCCAGCGAAUUUAAUGCCACAACGCUGGGAUUCGGACGGUCCAGCCGGUGAAAUUGGGGCGCGGGAGAGCCCCGUCGCCCAAUACCAAGCCAGGCUUGAGCGGUGUAAUGACGCUCGAACAGG